CACGUAGGGAGCAAGCGUUGUCCGGAUUUAUUGGGCGUAAAGAGCUCGUAAGUGGUUCGGUAAGUCAGGUGUGAAACCUCCAGGCUCAACCUGGAGACGCCACUUGAUACUGCUGUGACUGGAGUCCGGUAGGGGAGCGUGGAAUUCCUGGUGUAGCGGUGAAAUGCGCAGAUAUCAGGAGGAGCACCAGCGGCGAAGGCGGCGCUCUGGGCCGGUACUGACACUGAGGAGCGAAAGCGUGGGUAGCAAACAGG
rnacentral:rRNA from 1 species